rnacentral:rRNA from 1 species
AUACGGAGGGUGCAAACGUUGUUCGGAAUUACUGGGCGUAAAGCGCGCGUAGGCGGUUUGUUAAGUCAGAUGUAAAAGUCCACAGCUCAACUGUGGAAGUGCAUUUGAAACUGGCAGACUUGAAUACUGGAGGGGGUGGUGGAAUUCCCGGUGUAGAGGUGAAAUUCGUAGAUAUCGGGAGGAAUACCGGUGGCGAAGGCGACCACCUGGCCAGAUACUGACGCUGAGGUGCGAAAGCGUGGGGAGCAAACAGGAUUAGAAACCCUAGUAGUCC